rnacentral:rRNA from 1 species
CCUACGGGUGGCAGCAGUGAGGAAUAUUGGUCAAUGGCCGUAAGGCUGAACGAGCCAAGUAGCGUGAGGGAAGACUGCCCUAUGGGUUGUAAACCUCUUUUAUGCGGGGAUAAAGGUGUCAACGGGUGGGUGUUUGCAGGUAUCGCAUGAAUAAGGAACGGCUAAUCACGUGCCAGGCGCGGCGGUAAGACGGAAGGUACGGGCGUUAUCCGGAUUUGUUGGGUUUAAAGGGAGUGUAGGCCGGUCUUUAAGCGUUCCGUGAAAUUUUGGGGACCAACCAGGAGAGUGCGGCGCGAACUGGAGACCUUGAGUGCGCGGAAGGCAGGCGGAAUUCGUGGUGUAGCGGUGAAAUGCUUAGAUAUCACGAAGAACCCCGAUUGCGAAGGCAGCCUCCCGCAGCGUUACUGACGCUGAAGCUCGAAAGCGCGGGUAUCGAACAGGAUUAGAUACCCUAGUAGUC